CCCGUUAGUGAUAAAAUUAAUAAAUAGAAAUCCUGCAUAGAUUAUGUUAAUAUUGCCUUACAACAUCUGCCCCCAACAACAGAACCACCUCGUCUUCGAUCUUCCCCGUUAAAGUACCGGACCAAGGGUGGUACUGGUUUGUUCUACACCAGGAAUGUGGAGUUCAACCCUGCCUAAGACACCAGAUCACUAUCUAUUGCUAUCUUCCCUUUCAUCAUUUAAUGUUAAGACCAGAAUAUUCGUACCUUGGUUUAAAAUCUGACAGUGUAUUAUAUAUAUAUAUCUACGCAAGUCAAGCCAUUUCAUUGUUGGCAUUAUAAUGUUCUGUGUUAUGAUAUCUAAAGACAAGUAUAUGUGUAUGUGGUAGGAUCAAUUCUAAUAAGACAUACCUUAAUAUAUUGGAAGGUUAUAGAUACAUGCAUUUUGACUGGAAUCAUUAUGAUCAUGAUAGAAAUAACUUGUUACAUCACUGUGUACAAUUUUUUAAAUAUUAUUGUCGUAAACCCAAGGUAUUGCCUGUGUUGUACCAUGUUUUUUGCAUUCCUUUUGAUACACAUUAAAGACAAAACCUGCCAUGCAA